rnacentral:ncRNA from 1 species
CUUUUUCCUUCGAGCAAUAUCUACUCCAUAAAGAUCCAUCAGUCGAACAGUAUAUUUCAAAUUACUGCGUAUUACUCCAAAUUGCUUCUCUAGAUGUGGCCAACUAACACCUGACUUCUUUAAACGAUAAAUUUCUAGUUUAUCUUCAUAACUUAAUUUCAUACAAAAAGCACCUC